rnacentral:rRNA from 1 species
GACGAACGCUGGCGGCGUGCUUAACACAUGCAAGUCGAACGGAAAGGCCCUGCUUUUGUGGGGUGCUCGAUUGGCGCACGGGUGAGUAACACGUGAGUAACCUGCCCUUGACUUUGUGAUAACUUCAGGAAACUGGGGCUCAUACCGGAUAUGAUCUCCUGCUCCAUGUUGUGGGUUGGAAAGUUUCGGCGGUUGUGGAUGGACUCGCGGCUUAUCCGCUUGUUUGUGUGGUAGUUGCUUACCAAGGCUGUGACGGCUAGCCGGCCUGAGAGGGUGACCGGCGACAUUGGGACUGAGAGACGGAGCAGACGGGAACGGGAGGCAGCAGGGGGGAAUAUGGCACAAUGAGGGGAAGCCAGAGGCAGAAACGCCGCGUGCGGGAAGACGGGCUUCGGGUUGUAAACAGCUGUCGCAGGUGACGAAGCGGGAGUGACGGUAAUGGGUAAAGAAGCAACGGCUAACUACGUG